ACCUACCCGCUGUGUGUUACAAGUGUCACACGGUACUGCCGGUCUUAAGCCGGAGGAAGGUGGGGAUGACGUCAAGUCAGCAUGGCCUUUAUGUCCUGGGCUACACACACGCUACAAUGGCCAACACAAUAGGUUGCUAAGCCGCGAGGUGGAGCCAAUCCUCAAAGUUGGUCUCAGUUCAGAUUGCAGGCUGCAACCCGCCUGCAUGAAGAUGGAGUUGCUAGUAACCGCAGGUCAGCUAUACUGCGGUGAAUACGUUCCCGGGGCUU
rnacentral:rRNA from 1 species